rnacentral:rRNA from 2 species
UCGGGCCUGGUUAGUACUUGGAUGGGAGACCGCCUGGG